rnacentral:rRNA from 1 species
AACGUAGGAGACAAACGUUAUCCGGAGUUACUGGGCGUAAAGGGCGUGCAGGUGGUCUGUUAAGUCUGGCGUGAAAGCUCCUGGCUAAACCGGGAGAGGUCGUUGGAUACUGGCGGACUAGAGGACGGUAGAGGCGUGUGGAAUUCCGGGUGUAGUGGUGAAAUGCGUAGAGAUCCGGAGGAACCCCAGAGGCGAAGGCGGCGCCUGGCUCGCAACUGACGCUCAGACACGACAGCAUGGGGAGCGAACGGG